UAGGUAGGACGUGUCGGCUG
rnacentral:sRNA from 1 species